AUUGAACGCUGGCGGCAGGCCUAACACAUGCAAGUCGAGCGAGCGGCGGACGGGUGAGUAAUGUCUGGGAAACUGCCUGAUGGAGGGGGAUAACUACUGGAAACGGUAGCUAAUACCGCAUACCAUCAGAUGUGCCCACAUGGGAGUAGCUAGUAGGUGGGGUAACGGCUCACCUAGGCGACGAUCCCUAGCUGGUCUGAGAGGAUGACCAGCCACACGGGAACUGAGACACGGUCCAGACUCCGACGGGAGGCAGAAGUGGGGAAUAUUGCACAAUGGGCGAAAGCCUGAUGCAGCCAUGCGGGGUGUGUGAAGAAGGCGUUCGGGUUGUAAAGUACUUUGAGCGGGGAGGCGUUACCCGCAGAAGAAGCACCGGCUAACUCUGUGCCAGCAGCCGCGGUAAUAC
rnacentral:rRNA from 1 species